CUCAGGACGAACGCUGGCGGCGUGCCUAACACAUGCAAGUCGAACGGGGUAGCAAUACCCAGUGGCGAACGGGUGCGUAACACGUGAGGAACAUGCCCUUCGGCGGGGGAUAGCCGGCCCAACGGCCGGGUAAUACCGCGUACGACCUUCGGGUGGCAUCACCUGGGGGUGAAAGCAGCAAUGCGCCGAUGGAGUGCCUCGCGGCCUAUCAGCUAGUUGGUGAGGUAAUGGCUCACCAAGGCGACGACGGGUAGCUGGUCUGAGAGGAUGAUCAGCCACAUUGGGACUGAGACACGGCCCAGACUCCUACGGGAGGCAGCAGUGGGGAAUCUUGCGCAAUGGCCGAAAGGCUGACGCAGCGACGCCGCGUGUGGGAUGAAGGUCUUCGGAUUGUAAACCACUGUCGGGAGGGACGAAGCUCUGACGGUACCUCCAAAGGAAGCACCGGCUAACUCUGUGCCAGCAGCCGCGGUAAUACAGAGGGUGCGAGCGUUGUCCGGAAUCACUGGGCGUAAAGGGCGCGUAGGCGGCCUGGUAAGUCGGGGGUGAAACGCUGCGGCUCAACCGCAGCACUGCCUUCGAGACUGUCAGGCUUGAGCACGGUAGAGGCUGGUGGAAUUCCCGGUGUAGCGGUGGAAUGCGUAGAGAUCGGGAAGAACAUCGGUGGCGAAGGCGGCCAGCUGGGCCGUUGCUGACGCUGAGGCGCAACAGCGUGGGGAGCAAACAGGAUUAGAUACCCUGGUAGUCCACGCCGUAAACGAUGGGUACUAGGCGUCGGGGGGAGCGACCCUCUCGGUGCCGUCGCUAACGCAGUAAGUACCCCGCCUGGGGAGUACGGUCGCAAGACUGAAACUUAAAG
rnacentral:rRNA from 1 species